CGUGGAUCGAUCAUCAGGAGCGACCAAAGAGGGUGAAACCCUAAAGUGCCAAAAAUCAUCAAAUUGAAGGUCGAUUUCAGUCCUAAAUCGAUGCAUGAUCACAUAAAAACGAUCACCAAGUCAUGGGGAUCACAAGUUUGUCGCCUAACGAGCUAGGUGGAGGCUUGGGAAAGAAGCGGUCAAACGAAUCAAACACGAGAAGAAAAGCGUAUUCGGAUGCGAGGUGAAUGUCAAGAGUGCUCGGAUGAAGAUCAAGCUCGAUGAAGAACCGAACACACAAGAUUAAAGCUUCCGCAAGGCGUAACGUCGUAACUUUUAAACGACGAACUUAUUUAUAUUAUGUUGAAAACUUUUAAGUUGUAAAAGUUUUAAAUUACUCGUAUUUUCUAAGGAUACUUAAUCGUAA